GAUGAACGCUAGCGGCAGGCUUAAUACAUGCAAGUCGAGGGGUCAGCAAUGACACCGGCGGACGGGUGCGUAACGCGUAUGCAACCUACCUACAUCAGGGGGAUAGCCCUAGGAAACUGGGAUUAACACCGCAUAAUAGUAUUGAUGGCAUCAUUGAUAUUUGAAAUAUUUAUAGGAUGUAGAUGGGCAUGCGUAAGAUUAGCUAGUUGGUAAGGUAACGGCUUACCAAGGCUACGAUCUUUAGGGGCUUUGAGAGGAGUAUCCCCCACACUGGCACUGAGAUAGGGGCCAGACUCCUACGGGAGGCAGCAGUAGGGAAUAUUGGGCAAUGGAGGCAACUCUGACCCAGCCAUGCCGCGUGCAGGAAGACGGCCCUCUGGGUUGUAAACUGCUUUUGAAUGGGAAGAAUGUGAUGUUUGCGAGCAUUAAUGACGGUACCGUUAGAAUAAGCCACGGCUAACUACGUGCCAGCCGCCGCUGUAAGAC
rnacentral:rRNA from 1 species